rnacentral:rRNA from 1 species
UACGUAGGGGGGCAAGCGUUGUCCGGAAUCAUUGGGCGUAAAGCGCGCGUAGGCGGCCCCGGUAAGUCCGCUCUGAAAGUCCAGGGCUUAACCCUGGAAAGCGGGUGGAUACUGCCGGGCUUGAAUCCGGAAGAGGCGAGUGGAAUUCCUGGUGUAGCGGUGGAAUGCGCAGAUAUCAGGAGGAACACCAAUAGCGAAGGCAGCUCGCUGGGACGGUAUUGACGCUAAGGCGCGAAAGCGUGGGGAGCAAACAGGG